UACAUUCAUAAUUGUUUAGAUUUCUAUUCAUUUUCAAAUUAAAACACCAUCACGCAAAUUCGUACAACUUUAUUUUAAACUUUUAUGUCCUCGAAUAUAAAUGUAAUUUAAUAGGAAAUAAAGUAUACAAAUGUAAUCAUCAAAUAGUUAAUUCAUUAUAAAAGGGAAAAACAAAUACUACAUUUAUAAUUGUUUAGAUUCAUAUUCAUUUUCAAAUUAAAACACCAUCACACAAUCUCAAUAAAUUGCAAUCUAUAAGUGCACGUCCUCAAACAUAAAUUUAGAUUAAAAAAUACAGUUAACAUUUUUUAUAAUAAAAUGAUAAUUAAAAAAAUAUUAUUUUUAUAAUUUUUCAAGAUAUUACUAUUAUAAAAAUUAAAUCAUUAGAAAAUUAAUUGUUAAAUUGAAAUAAAAAUCCAAUUUUUGUAAUUUUAAUAUUACUAUUGUUUUUCAAAUGGUCUUUUUUUCAUUUCCUGUUUUUCAGACAUGUACUUUUGCAGUCCUUCUGUAUAUUUUUGCCUUCAUUUUGUGUACGUCAUAGUGAGUUUGUAUGUUUUGGAGUUGUUUUGUGUAAAUAUUUUCUGGAUCAUUUUGUGCGCUAACUGUUGGGGGUGCACAAAGUCAGUCUGUGGGCCACCAGUUGCCCAUGUCUGCUAUAAUGGGUGACGUGUAAAUAUAUUUUGUGCAUGCGUGCGUUGAAAAUAACACUGAUAAAAAAAAAUUUUGGAGUAAAGUGGUGAUGGCUCCCCCCUUUGGAAGUUUGAAUUUGAAGCGAGCAAAACUUACAGCACCUGGUCUGGGCUACACCCUGUUUGGCCGUUGCCUCGGACCGGACACCCCCGAUAACCGCGCCGCCCAGAAGACCAAGUUUGGCUGGAUGAGGUACCCUCAGGCUGCACAGGUGACAGAGGACAGCCGGCUGCUCUAACUCCUCAUUAAGAUGCUGAGGAACCGCCCGCCCUCCAGCCGCCUUGCCUCUCCCAGCAAGGUGGCCGCCUCCAUCAAGGCACAAUAUAAAAGGAUUGUGGAUCGCGUGAGAGACGAUCCCAUCCUCUGCGGCCUCUCCAUCCCACUGCCCAACAUCAACAAUAAGUCCAUCUCCAGCUUCUUCUCUCGGGAGGAGAAGGCUGCCAACUACAGAGCUACGGUGCAGCCCAAAGCCAAGCCCCACCGCACCGUGCUGUCUGACCAACCGCUGCCCGACGCUCUUGCGUUGCCGUCCUCGCUGCCACCACCAGACCGACAGCAAAUGCAGUUCGAGCAGCCUCGCCACACGGCCGGGAAAAGGCGCGGAGAGAAGCGGAGGUUGGACUUUGAGGAGCCGGACCCAGAGGCGGGACCUUCAAAUCGGCCCAUCCAAGCCCAGCCUGCUGCCGCCGCCCCCCCCUACAUCCUACCUGCAGUCCGGGCAGCUCCCAUACUGCUGGUGGUCCCAGCACAGCCGUGCGCUCCAUCAAUCCAGUUUGCCGGACCUUCCUGCAGGCAGGUAUUCGUCCCCGUUCUGCCCCCCCCUGCUCUCAUCCCCAAGCCCAUCGUCCCCAAAAAGUCGGCGAGGCCCUGCGGGGCAUGCCAAGUUCCUCAGUGUGGUGGCCGGAGGAAACGCUACACGCCCUCCAAGGACAAAGCGGCUGGAAGCAGCCAAAAAAUUUACACUUUUUGUCCUGCCACAGGGAAGUCAACCACCUCUGGCUUUGAAGGCGUGGUGUACACCAGCUUUGAACACUUUAAAAGUGUGGUGGACGAGGAGCUGGAGAGGAGGAGAAGCCAUUAACACUGACUGUUGACACACCUGUUGCUUCUCCCUCUGUACAUUAUCCAUCUGUAUAUAUUAUUGAAUAUUUGUUACAUUGUAAUCAUACUGUAUAUAUGUUUUUAUAAUAGCUAUGUCAAUUAUAUUUCAUUUAGAUUUUGAUAAACAUUUUUAUUAUAUAUUUUUUUGGGCAACUUUAUAGAUGAAAGCCAUACUGGCAUUUCUGUAUGAUAGCACAUGUAUAUAUUAUUGCUUUUGUUUUAUAUUGAUUAUAUUUGUAAAGUUAGAAUUAUUUUUUGUUACUUGUGAAUUGUGUCAUAUUUUAUAUUAAUAAAAGUUGUGUUGUUAUUUAAAAGUGUGUCUUC
rnacentral:lncRNA from 1 species